rnacentral:ncRNA from 1 species
GGUCAAGCUACAAAGAGCUAACGGUGGAUCCCUAGGCACACAGAGGCGAAGAAGGACGUGGCGACCGACGAAACGCUCCGAGGAGCUGGAAGCAAGCAGAGAUCCGGAGGUAUCCGAAUAGGGCAACCUAUAAACUACUCGCUGAAUCCAUAGGCGAGUGAGAGCGAACCCAGCGAACUGAAACAUCUUAGUAGCUGGAGGAAAAGAAAGCAAAAGCGAUUUCCUAAGUAGUGGUGAGCGAAAGGGAAACAGCCUAAACCUUCUGUUUUUACAGAGGGGGUAGUGGGACAGCAUCAAAGGAUUGUAGAGGUUAAACGAAGCAGUUGAAAACUGCACCAGAGAAGGUGAAAGUCCUGUAGUUGAAAACUAAAGCAACCGAGCUGUAUCCCGAGUAGCACGGAGCCCGUGAAAGUCCGUGUGAAUCCGCCUCGACCACGAGGAAUGCUAAAUACUCCUGUGUGACCGAUAGAGAACCAGUACCGUGAGGGAAAGGUGAAAGAACCCCGGGAGGGGAGUGAAAUAGAACCUG